rnacentral:sRNA from 1 species
UCGGUUAAUAUAGAGGAAUGCCGAGUCAUAUAUCCUUGCCCCAAAAUUAAAUAUUUGAAGGGAUAUGUCUUAUUUUAUUUCUGGGAUAGAAUGUUUUUCAUUUUCAUGUUACUGAAGUGUAGUUUUACUAAACUACUAAAUCUGAGACUGCUAAGCACCUUCCCUGUGCCAGGCACAGCACUGGGUAGGGUGAGGGCCCUGGGAGUCAAUAUUCUGGGACAGGCACAGGAGGUGUACAGGGAAAGAGUCUUUCCUCUCUGUGGCAUCUGGGAGGCUUUAGGAUGUGGGAAAGAUUGUCUCCUCAUCUCAGUUGCCCCUCAUUUUCAGGCAGACACGUAUGAAAUGAUUACACUCCCCUGAAAGAUCAGCUUCUACAUAAUUCAAGAUCAUCCUCAAUCUCUCUCAUCAGAGAGGAAGAAAAGCCACAUGAAUUAUUUACAGAACACUAAGUUAUUUCCUUUUAUGAGCUCCAACUUUGUUUUUGUCUCUGCAAACUGAGAUUUUGUUUAUCCAUGAAUAGUUUCCCCAGGGGCAUGAAAAAUAUGACUCUUAAAUUAUGAAUGAGGUUUUUUGUUUCAGUCCAUGUUAACUAAAACAUGCAAAAUAAACUAUGUUUUUCAUUAGAUCCCUUUCAGCUCCCUGCAAAAACAGAACCAAUAAAAGAACGAGCAGUUCAACCAGCACCCACCAGGAAGCCCACUGUAAUUCGAAUUCCAGCCAAACCAGGAAAAUGUUUACAUGAGGAUCCACAAAGCCCACCUCCUCUCCCUGCUGAAAAACCUAUUGGAAACACUUUCAGUACAGUAUCUGGAAAGCUCAGUAAUGUUGACAGAACUAGAAACUUGGAAUCCCACCACCCAGGUCAAACAGGAGGUUUUGAGCGAGGACCCCCAAGGUUGCCACCGAGACCUGUGAAUGGAAAAACCAUUCCAACUCAACAGCCUCCAACCAAGGUGCCCCCUGAGAGACCACCUCCCCCAAAGCUUUCUGCAACCAGAAGAUCUAAUAAGAAACUGCCUUUUAAUCGAUCCUCUUCUGACAUGGAUCUUCAGAAAAAACAAAGUGACUUGGCAACUGGACUCUCAAAAGCCAAGAGUCAAGUUUUUAAAAAUCAAGAUCCGGUGCUACCCCCUCGCCCCAAACCAGGACACCCUCUCUACAGUAAAUACAUGCGUGGGGAUGUACUUGUGAUGCUGAAGCAGACGGAAAAUAAUUACUUGGAGUGCCAAAAGGGAGAAGACACUGGCAGAGUUCACCUGUCUCAAAUGAAGAUUAUCACUCCACUUGAUGAACAUCUUAGAAGCAGACCAAAUGAUCCAAGCCACGCUCAGAAGCCUGUUGACAGUGGUGCUCCUCAUGCUGUCGUUCUUCAUGAUUUCCCAGCAGAGCAAGUUGAUGAUUUGAACCUCACUUCUGGAGAAAUUGUUUAUCUUCUGGAGAAGAUAGAUACAGAUUGGUACAGAGGGAACUGUAGAAACCAGAUUGGCAUAUUUCCUGCCAACUAUGUCAAAGUGAUUAUUGAUAUCCCAGAAGGAGGAAAUGGGAAAAGAGAAUGUGUUUCAUCUCAUUGUGUUAAAGGCUCAAGAUGUGUUGCUCGAUUUGAAUAUAUUGGAGAGCAGAAGGAUGAGUUGAGUUUCUCAGAGGGAGAAAUUAUUAUGCUUAAAGAGUACGUGAAUGAGGAAUGGGCCAGAGGAGAAGUUCGAGGCAGAACUGGGAUUUUCCCCCUGAACUUUGUGGAGCCUGUUGAGGAUUAUCCCACCUCUGGUGCGAAUGUUUUAAGCACAAAGGUACCACUGAAAACCAAAAAAGAAGAUUCUGGCUCAAACUCUCAGGUUAACAGUCUUUCGGCGGAAUGGUGUGAAGCUCUUCACAGUUUUACAGCAGAGACCAGUGAUGACUUAUCGUUCAAGAGGGGAGACCGGAUCCAGAUUCUGGAACGUCUGGAUUCUGACUGGUGCAGGGGCAGACUGCAGGACAGGGAGGGGAUCUUCCCAGCAGUGUUUGUGAGGCCCUGCCCAGCUGAGGCAAAAAGUAUGUCGGCCAUAGUACCGAAGGGGAGGAAGGCCAAAGCCUUAUAUGAUUUCCGAGGGGAGAAUGAAGAUGAACUUUCCUUCAAGGCUGGAGAUAUAAUAACAGAGCUGGAAUCUGUAGAUGAUGACUGGAUGAGUGGAGAACUAAUGGGAAAAUGUGGAAUAUUUCCCAAAAACUACAUACAGUUUCUACAGAUCAGCUAGAGAAGAAGCUUGACUCUGUUCCUUGGCACAAGAACUCACUUGAACUAUCACCUUGACUAUCAGAUAUGUUUUUGCACUAUUUUUUUUAACUGAAAAAGAAAUAUCUAAGCUGUACAUGGUACACUAGAAUUUUCUGAAAGCAGAAAACGUUUAGAUUUUGUAGUUAAUUUUCAUUACAAUAGAAACAUGCACAUGGAAACCCAUGAGCUAGGAUUCUACCGAGGAAAACAUCCAGUGGGAUUAGCAAGGUGAAGGGAAAGCAUCUGGUGGCAUGGCAGCAUGGGGAGGCUCACACGCAGAAGUUGCACGUGGACAUCUGUUUUAAUCAGCACAAGUGAAUUAACCAGGCUUCUUCAUUUUUUUACUUUAAGAGGACAUUUAAUAUUCUACAUGCUGUAACUAUCAGGACAUGGUUAGCAAUCUAAAUUUCAUUUUUGAUAUUCCAAUUAAUUCUUACAGCUUGAGCAUAUCGGCCUUAUUACCAGAGCAAAUCCUUCCUUCAGGUGGGAUAGUUUAGCGACUAGUUGGAGCAUUUGUAAGCACAUGGUGAAAUCAGCCCCUGCCCACCAAAAUAAUCUUUAUGUUACCAAGUGAUUCCCAUUUGUCUAAGGAUUUGAAGGGGGUCUAAAUUGGAUGUAUCUUACUUAGUCUAAAGAACCAAAACCAUCCCUGAAAUGCCUUGCUAAUACAACUAAUCCUUCCAUAUAUGUGCCAUACUUAUUUUUUUCCUCAGUGUAUACUUUAUGUUAACAGGGUUAUUACAAAGCACAUUUUCUGAAUCUGCAAUCAUUCCUUUGACAAUUACUGGACCCAAAGGAAAAUUCAUUUUCUUUGCAUUAUUCCAGUAAUAUAUAAAAACUGUGUCUUGUUAUAGUAGUACAUUAUGAAUCACAUAUAAAAUCUUACAAUACAGAACAACUGUUAAGAUGGAAAACAGUGCCAAACCUCCACAGCUCAUUUCUUUGUAAUAUAAUCAGAAUGAAAAAUAAUUUAAGAGGACAGAAGACUGGUACUUUUUUGUUGUAUUUUUUCCCUAGCUUAUCCCUGCACAAUUAUUAGAGUGAAUGAAAAACCACUUUCCUGCUUUCCAUUGUCAUAAAUUCUAAGCUUAAGAUAAAAGUGGUUCUUUACAUGACUGCAUCAAUUACAAUUUAUGGACUAGAGCCAAAUAAGUUGAAGACAAUCUUCGAAACAGAUCAAUGGAAUAGAAUUUCAUUGGAAAUGUAAAACACUUUCCCAACAAUGGUCAUGACUUUCUUCUGUUUUUGAGAAGAGUUUCAUAUGCUGGACCACGUUUUAGCUUUUGUUGUUUUUUUUCCCAUUGUCCAAAAAGUUAGGCAACAAGUGGCCACACUUUUACGUGACUACAACCUGGAGUUCUGCAAAGAAGGUAAUAUUUACUUGGUCUUUGACUAAAGUUAUCUCCCCAUUCUAUGGUUACAUUUUAUUUUGGACUAUGGGGAUUUCUAAUAUGUUUUGGUAAAGAAGAGAGUAUAAAGAAAAUUCUUGUCAAAUUUCACUCAAAAGUAAUUUCAUGAGAAAUCAAUGAUUUAAAGCAUUAUCCAAAUUAAAUUAUCAUUUGCAGCAAACUGUACAACAGCAGGAAGGAUAUGGAAUGGAACAUGAGGUAUCUAUCUUUGCCUUUAUAAUUUUAACAUCUUAUAUUGAAGAUUCUUAAAACCUAUCCUUAUUAGAGGAAAAUCUCCAUCUUAAGUUUUGGCCUUCUGUCAGCAGAAUGAUAAGUGCAAUAGUUGUAAAUCUACUUGACACUGUAAUAAACUGAACUGAACUUUC